UGUUUAUACCACGUGUUAAGAAUAUUUACAUCAGAGAACUGGAAGACUGAAUUCUUACGUAGGUGAGCAUUAGCAAUCACCUAAUGCCUAUCAGAAAUAUCUUAAAUUGACUUAAAGUGGCAAGUGGGUGGUAAAAUUUUUUGUUUAAAGUCAAGAUUUUACUUCAGAAGACACUGUAUUUUCUUCAGACUGUUCUCUAAUACCUGUUGGUAUUCUCAGAUAGCUGCAGUAUUCAGUUAUGAGCAAAAAGAUCUUUUAACGUGUGUGGGAUAAUUCUACAUGCUUUCUUAGAAGUUUUUGGUAUGUCGAGUAUUAUCCUAUACUAAGCCUGCAACUUUUAGGGCUGAAAAGGGUUCUGAGUCUAGAAUUGAAAGGUUCGGUCCCAGGCAUUAAACGUAUAAUGGGAAAUAAUUCAUCAGGAUGUAUUGCUUUGAUUCAAGGAAUGCUGGAGUGCGUGUGUAAUGUAAGCAUGGACGUUAUGAAAACUGCCUCAAGUUACACAUGAACGUGGGAGCUUUACUGGAUCAAAGUCUGUGCAUUUGAUUGCAGAUAAUCAGGUUUUAAUAAGGUUCCUUCAGGUGGCUUCAAUUUGGACUUAAAAUUUCAUCGUCAGAAACAAUAACCUGAUGGCGGUUCACUGUAAAGGUCGUGCAAGCUCCAAUUCUCAGAGAAUUGCCACUCGGUGGGCACCUUUCGCAAACAGUAUAAUUAUUGCAAGUGGUCAUAUCUGUGGGGGAAAGGUCACUGGUACUUUGGUUAUUUAGCCAUAUUCAUUGAAACUAUAUAAAUUGUAUAGUUUGGAUAAUUUAUAAUAUUAAACUCUGUGAUUUUUUUAAUAUCACGUUGAGGGUUCAGCUGUACUCAUUUCUUUUACCGUUUAACACCGGUGGUAUGGACAGAAGACUCAGAGGGGGUGGUAGUGUUACUAUUUUCUUAAUUUAUUUGGUACUGUAUAACACCUUUCUGAUUAAAUGCAGCGUAUGCAUUUUGGGACUCUGUUAAUUUGUAAAAGCUGUUACAGGUUCAGCAAGAAAGGAAAUUUGUGCUUCCUUGUUGAAUGUUAAAUUAUUUUACUUUGCAUUUUAUAUGAGAGUACAAAUUAAAACUGAGCCAUCAAACUGCAAUAAAUCAACAGUAGUGUUUCAUUUUAAAAACUUUUUUGUACUGUACAUAGAUUUGUUCAAUAAAACGUUGUCUUUGUUGUU
ensembl:lncRNA